UACGGGGGGAGCAAGCGUUGUUCGGAUUUACUGGGCGUAAAGGGCGCGUAGGCGGCCUCCGCAAGUCGACUGUGAAAUCUCCGGGCUUAACCCGGAACGGUCAGCCGAUACUGCGGGGCUAGAGUGCAGAAGGGGCAACUGGAAUUCUCGGUGUAGCGGUGAAAUGCGUAGAUAUCGAGAGGAACACCUGCGGCGAAGGCGGGUUGCUGGGCUGACACUGACGCUGAUGCGCGAAAGCGUGGGGAGCGAACAGG
rnacentral:rRNA from 1 species